rnacentral:rRNA from 1 species
GACGAACGCUGGCGGCGUGCCUAAGACAUGCAAGUCGUGCGGACACCUUCGGGUGUUAGCGGCGGACGGGUGAGUAACACGUGGAUAACCUGCCUGAUGCUCCGGAAUAACAGACCGAAAGGUCUGCUAAUGCCGGGUAAGCUCACGGAGCCGCAUGGCUUUGGGAGAAAAGGCGCUUUACGGCGCUGGCAACAGAGGGGUCCGCGGCCCAUUAGCUAGUUGGCGGGGUAACGGCCCACCAAGGCGACGAUGGGUAGCCGGCCUGAGAGGGCGACCGGCCACACUGGGACUGAGACACGGCCCAGACUCCUACGGGAGGCAGCAGUCGGGAAUUUUGCACAAUGGCCGAAAGGCUGAUGCAGCAACGCCGCGUGAGUGAUGAAGGCCUUCGGGUUGUAAAGCUCUGUUGCCCGUGACGAAAGGCUCGCUCAGGAAAUGGGGCGAGUUUGACGGUAGCGGGAGAGGAAGCCCCGGCUAACUACGUGCCAGCAGCCGCGGUAAUACGUAGGGGGCAAGCGUUGUCCGGAUUUAUUGGGCGUAAAGGGCGUGUAGGCGGCCUGGUAAGUCGGGGGUGAAAACUCAGGGCUCAACCCUGAGACUGCCUUCGAUACUGCUGGGCUUGAGUGCUCUAGAGGGUAGUGGAAUUGCCGGUGUAGCAGUGAAAUGCGUAGAGAUCGGCAGGAACACCAGUGGCGAAGGCGACUGCCUGGGGAGUAACUGACGCUGAGGCGCGAAAGCUGGGGGAGCAAACGGGAUUAGAUACCCCGGUAGUCCCAGCCGUAAACGAUGAGUGCUAGGUGUGAGGGGUAUCGACCCCCCUCGUGCCGCAACAAACGCAAUAAGCACUCCGCCUGGGGAGUACGGCCGCAAGGUUG